rnacentral:rRNA from 1 species
UGGGAAUCUGCCCUAUGGUUCGGAAUAACUCAGGGAAACUUGAGCUAAUACCGGAUAAUGUCUUCGGACCAAAGAUUUAUCGCCAAAGGAUGAGCCCGCGUAAGAUUAGCUAGUUGGUGGGGUAAAAGCCUACCAAGGCGACGAUCUUUAGCUGGUCUGAGAGGAUGAUCAGCCACACUGGGACUGAGACACGGCCCAGACUCCUACGGGAGGCAG